GGUUCGAUUAUGGCUCAGAUUGAACGCUGGCGGGAUGCUUUACACAUGCAAGUCGAACGGCAGCACGGACUUCGGUCUGGUGGCGAGUGGCGAACGGGUGAGUAAUGUAUCGGAACGUGCCUAGUAGCGGGGGAUAACUACGCGAAAGCGUAGCUAAUACCGCAUACGCCCUUCGGGGGAAAGCGAGGCCUUCGGGCCUCACUAUUGGAAACGGCCGAUAUCGGAUUAGCUAGUUGGUGGGGUAACGGCUCACCAAGGCGACGAUCCGUAGCUGGUUUACCGAGAGGACGACCAGCCACACUGGGACUGAGACACGGCCCAGACUCCUACGGGAGGCAGCAGUGGGGAAUUUUGGACAAUGGGGAAACCCUGAUCCAGCCAUCCCGCGUGUGCGAUGAAGGCCUUCGGGUUGUAAGCACUUUUGGCAGGAAAGAAGCAGCUGCAGGAUAAUACCCCGUGCAACUGACGUACAGAAUAAGCACCGGCUAACUACGUGCCAGCAGCCGCGGUAAUACGUAGGGUGCAAGCGUUAAUCGGAAUUACUAGGCGUAAAGCGUGCGCAGGCGGUUCGGAAAGAAAGAUGUGAAAUCCCAGAGCUUAACUUUGGAACUGCAUUUUAACUACCGAGCUAGAGUGUGUCAGAGGGAGGUGGAAUUCCGCGUGUAGCAGUGAAAUGCGUAGAUAUGCGGAGAAGACACCGAUGGCGAAGAGCAGCCUCCUGGGAUAACACUGACGCUCAUGCACAGCGUGGGAGCAAACAGGAUUAGAUACCCUGGUAGUCCACGCCUAAACGAUGUCAACUAGCUGUUGGGGCCUUCGGGCCUUGGUAGCGCAAUAACGCGUGAAGUUAAGCCGCCUGGGAAGUACGGUCGCAAGAUUAAAACUCAAAGGAAUUGACGGGGACCCGCACAAGCGGUGGAUGAUGUGGAUUAAUUCGAUGCAACGCGAAAAACCUUACCUACCCUUGACAUGUCUGGAAUCCCGAAGAGAUUUGGGAGUGCUCGCAAGAGAACCGGAACACAGGUGCUGCAUGGCUGUCGUCAGCUCGUGUCGUGAGAUGUUGGGUUAAGUCCCGCAACAGGCGCAACCCUUGUCAUUAGUUGCUACGAAAGGGCACUCUAAUGAGACUGCCGGUGACGAAACCGGAGGAAGGUGGGGAUGACGUCAAAGUCCUCGCGGCCCAUAUGGGUAGGGCUUCACACGUCAUACAAUGGUCGAGACAGAGGGUCGCCAACCCGCGAGGGGAGCCAAUCCCAGAAGCCGUCGUAGUCCGGAUCACUGAUCUGCAACUCGACUGCGUGAAGUCGGAAUCGCUGGUAAUCGCGGAUCAGCAUGUCGCGGUGAAUACGUUCGGGUCUUGUACACACCGCCCGUCACACCAUGGGAGUGGGUUUUACCAGAAGUGAUCAGCCUAACCGUAGGAAGGGGCGAUUACCACGGUAGGAUUCAUGACUGGGGUGAAGUCGUAACAGAGUAA
rnacentral:rRNA from 1 species